GUACAACAAUUGCAACGGGCUUGGGCAGGCUGCCAGGACCCGACAUUCAUUGAGUAUGCCAGAAACGAAGGUAUUUUGGCCGUGGAAGGAACUGAUGUCGUACUGCACAGUCAUUUCUGAACGGUAACUUGGUAUAAAGGAUUCUGCGAUGAGCAGGGUGGUCAAGCUUCUUGGUGCAACACUGCUUCUUGCAGCCCUGGUCGGCAAUGUUCAGGCGCAGUUCAUUGGAGGAUUCUUUCCUUGGUGGUGGUCGAGAUGGUGCAACGGAAUAUGGUGCCCCUUUGGAACUCGCUGUGUACUUGCACUGUGCCUCCAAUUCCCCUGCGUGCCUGUUAGCUACUGUGCUCCAUUUUUCUAGGGAGCAAGAGGACGGAGUGGAUAACCCGUGGCAACCAACAACGCAAGCCACACUGCGAAUUUGCCCAACAGGACAUAAGAAUUUGAACGGAUCAUCAAGUAGAAAGCGCUUAACGCGACACCAUAGGUUGGGAUAUUAAGUGAAAUUCCCUAAGUAAGCUUUGCCUCUGCACUUGCAAAGCGGCUAUUCUUACCAUGUUUGAAGCUUGAUGAGCGAGGAAAGAUCCAAAACGAAAGAAUCGCGGCAACGCAACCCUGAAGAUCCAGCAUCAGUGCGCCGUGACCCCAUAGACCUUGACAAGCACUCGUGCCUAGUUUAUUGUCCGACGCAAAAGUAGGGCUACGUUGCCAUUAUAAAGGAACCAGACACACAACUUAGCCAGUUUUGAGAACUUUUGAUGUGCCAGUAGAAAGAAGAAAUGCGAGAAAAUAAUUUGACAUCCCUCACGUAAGGUUGUCAUUCUUUUGCGUUAAGGUAUCGGCGCGAAAUAAGAACAUAAGAGUUCUGCCUUGAGUUUAUUCCACGCCAGUAAAUGCUGUUGCUCUUAAUGACUGCCAAUGGAAUUCUGAAAGAGAAAUUUAAUGUUGCUUUUUGGUGUCUAUCUAUAUCGAAUUAGGCCAAGAACAAUGCUCUACGUGAAGACGAACUUAAUAAAAGAAAUAAUG